CAAGAUAGGUCAACUCCACAGCAACAGAUAGCACGCUAGCCCAUAGAGUUAGUUAAACAGGGUAGAGAGAUACAACAUGAAAGGCCAUAAUAUCAAUGAAUGAUGCCAGGCCUUUCAACAUUUCAGCUGGAGGGAACCUGAUUGCAUCUAAAGUCUUGGGAUUCAACUGUGCUAACGUCCCCCAGAAAGCUGAAAACUAAGCUGGAUCCCUUUGCUUAAAAGUCUUACCAACGCCCCGCUACUGAGAAGGAUCAUGAAGAUGAUGACGGUCUCAAACCAGUUGUGCUCCACAAUCAGGCGUCUGGGUCCAGGAACUCCUCCACAACCUCCACCACCACCACUUCCUCCACGUCAGGCUUGAUGUCUAUGGUGCUGCCCUCCGAAGAGCUAGUGUCAUCCAGCUGAGACAGACAACAGGAGAGAGGGUCAGACUCCUAACAUCACAGAACAUUCUGUGGUGUUAUGAGCUAGUAUGUACAAAGAUACCGCACAGUGGUACCCACUGCCUACAAAAGCAUCCACUAGUCACCUACUCACCCUUUCUGUGGAUACCUCAAAGGCAUCAUGACCUAACCAGGAAAAGCUGUGUGUCUCAGCUGGAGGUUAGAUGUUACAUGUUGUCUGCAUUUUUAACACAUUCUCUUACAUUCUGACCAUGGAUGUGUGGGUAACCUUGUCUAUUUGCCUUGAAGUGAGUAUUAUUAAUAGCAACAUUGACCAGUUUGUCAUUAACCUUGGCUGCUGAGUGAUUACAUUAUUAGGGCUGGUCAAUGAUAAAUAUGCAUACGCAGAAUUGACAGUGAUGCAUGAUUUGUUGCUAGGUA